rnacentral:rRNA from 1 species
GAUGAACGCUAGCGGCAGGCUUAACACAUGCAAGUCGAGGGGUAGGAGAAGCUUGCUUUUCUGAGACCGGCGCACGGGUGCGUAACGCGUAUGCAAUCUACCUUUCACAGAGGGAUAGCCCAGAGAAAUUUGGAUUAAUACCUCAUAGUAAUACGACUUGGCAUCAAGAUGUAUUUAAAGAUUUAUCGGUGAAAGAUGAGCAUGCGUCCCAUUAGCUAGUUGGUAUGGUAACGGCAUACCAAGGCAACGAUGGGUAGGGGUCCUGAGAGGGAGAUCCCCCACACUGGUACUGAGACACGGACCAGACUCCUACGGGAGGCAGCAGUGAGGAAUAUUGGACAAUGGGCGCAAGCCUGAUCCAGCCAUGCCGCGUGCAGGAUGACGGUCCUAUGGAUUGUAAACUGCUUUUAUACAGGAAGAAACCCCUCUACGUGUAGAGACUUGACGGUACUGUAAGAAUAAGGAUCGGCUAACUCCGUGCCAGCAGCCGCGGUAAUACGGAGGAUCCAAGCGUUAUCCGGAAUCAUUGGGUUUAAAGGGUCCGUAGGCGGUCAGGUAAGUCAGUGGUGAAAGCCCAUCGCUCAACGGUGGAACGGCCAUUGAUACUGUCUGACUUGAAUUAUUAGGAAGUAACUAGAAUAUGUAGUGUAGCGGUGAAAUGCUUAGAGAUUACAUGGAAUACCAAUUGCGAAGGCAGGUUACUACUAAUAUAUUGACGCUGAUGGACGAAAGCGUGGGUAGCGAACAGGAUUAGAUACCCUGGUAGUCCACGCCGUAAACGAUGGAUACUAGCUGUUGGGCGCAAGUUCAGUGGCUAAGCGAAAGUGAUAAGUAUCCCACCUGGGGAGUACGAACGCAAGUUUGAAACUCAAAGGAAUUGACGGGGGCCCGCACAAGCGGUGGAGCAUGUGGUUUAAUUCGAUGAUACGCGAGGAACCUUACCAAGGCUUAAAUGUAGAUUGACCGUUUUGGAAACAGAGCUU